AGGUUUGGUAAAAUGCCACUGUAGUGCUUCAGAAAGUAGGAAAAUCCCCUCAGCGUUUCCACCAGCAGUAAGAACGUGCUCCUGGCCUUAUGGCUGUGCAGACAUGAGUGGAAUAAGACUGGCUUGGUGCUAGGGAAGGCUCGGGGCUGGGAGAAGAAUUAUGGCUCAGGGACAAUGCUGAAAGGAUGGUGCUGAGAGCUGUGCUCUGCCUUGCAGCUCAGAUAAUCCUCCCUCGUCAUACUUCAGGGUGGGCUGCUUGCAUUCGUGUCACUGUUUAUCUUCCAGAUGGCUUGCAGGUGCUGCAUGGGAUUGGCAUUAAACUCUGCUUGCAUAGGAUAUUAGGGAGGGAACAUUUACUGGGAAAAAAUGUCUCUAGCUGCAGAAAGAAUCUCUUAUGUCAGGUUAUUUAGAUGCAGAGGUGGGUCAGUGGAUUUCUUGAGCAAGAACUCAAAUUUUCAGACACUGUUUGAAAGGGGCUGUGCUUUAAGAAGUUAUCACUUCUCAUCAGGGCACGUAAGCACAGGGUCUUCACCAGUGCUGGGAGCUUAGUGUCACACUGACAGCUGCUCGUGUUCUGGCUUAAGCUGGGCACAUCCUGAAGGUGCUGAAGGCCUGCACGUGUUCAUGGUGCAAAAACUGGAUACAGGAUGCUGAAUCCCAGAUGUGUGAGGCUUUGCAGAAACCACCACCUAUGUCCAGCCACAUAAAUCCACAGGGUUACAGAGAUGAUGGGAGCUGCCCGGUGAGCAUCUGCAAUGGGAGGUGUUGCUUCAGAGGAAGGAUUUGCUCACGCAGAGGAAGACUUCAUGUGAAUUAACUAACGUGGGAAUUGAAAGUAGAUUAGCAAUGCCACGUAAAUGGAUGGAUCCCUUGGAUUCUUCUCUUCAGAAUUAAACUGGUCCUAAUUUGUUUCAGUGUAAUUAUGAAAGAGGAUGUUAUACAGGCUUUAAUGAGAUCUAAUGUUUUCACCACAAAAGUUAGCCUGGGUUCAUUUCUUAUGUCUCUCAGCAGGGGUGGGAUUGGAAUGCGUGUUGAAUUUUUUUAGUAGGAAACUUGUAUUAUUUUUACCUUGGGUUUCAAUAACUGAUUCUGAUAAUGGUGUAAUCUGUUUUUGUUGUGAUUAUACUAUUUUUAAUCACAGGAUAUAAAAGCUCUGAAUAAGCAAUUAAUUAAUCCUCACCAAGUCCCUACAAGGUCGGUAAAAGCUUUAUAGGAGUCAAUGUAUGGCUUUUCCCGUGGAAUACAGCGAGGCAAAGCAGUGCAAUGAGGCAUGGGAGGGAAGAUGGGUAUCUGACUUUACUGAAUACAUGGGUGGAGUUAAGCAAGAAAAAGACGUUAUUAACCAGUUUAGAAUUUGGUUGCACCACCACAAUGCACACAGGAGGAAAUGUCAGGGGAGCUCCAGCAAUCUGGGCGUCCACUUUCUGUCUGACCCAACCCACCUCACUCAUAGCAGCACUGCACGCAAUGCACCACAGUGGGAGCAGCUAAUAGCAGGGUGUGCACAUCAUGGAUUAGAAGUAAUUUAUCUGAUUUCCUUUUAUUUUGAAAUAGGAUUUACCCAUUUGAAUUAGAUUUUGUUAAAAAAAAAAAAAGCGAAGAGGAAGAAAAAACCGUUGAGCUCCCAACUGCUGUUUGCAGGCUGACUGCGUGUUGACAGAUUGCUCUGCUGGUGUUGCAGUCCUUUCUCUGUCGGGGCAGUUUCUUUCUUUUCCCCCAUGGAUAGUUUAUUUUCUGCUCAAUGCUAAGUCUCGUGUUUGUCUUACUUCUUUAAAUGAGAGCAAGCACUGCGCUUUUGUUCUGCCCCUUUUCCAGUGCCAUUUUGCUGAUCUUCUCUGCGUGAAUCUGAAAGAUCAGGAAAACAAAUCAAUACAGAAGAGGACCUCCUGCCCCUUUUAACCUAACCUGUGGGAGGGAGGAGGGAGAAAUAGCCAAUGACAUGAAAGGAAAUUUUAAGUAUGCCCAAAAAAAGCGCAGUGGGAGUGAGGGUUUGGAAGGACAGGUGUCAACAGGACCAGCCUCUGCAUUUCACAGAGUGUCUUUAUGAACUCACGGUCAUCUCCUCUGCAGCAGCACGCAGGGGUGAUCCAUACAGCUGUAAGGCAUUGAACCUGUAACAGUUCUGAGAGGGAGGAGGCAGUGGCCCUCGUGUUUCUGCAUCACUGACUGUGAAGGGCUUUGCUGGUUAGAAGCUCACCACACGAUCUGAAAGCCAGCGAAUGGCAACAGCUGCCUUGUCAUGGUGAGGUGGGCCUCGGUUCUCUCUGAUGCCCUGUCCUACUUCCACUCCUGCAGGUGAGCAGCUUGUCUUGCUGUGGAUAGUCGCCAUGCAGAGCAGAAGGGAGCUGGAGAGAGGUUCUGUGCCUCUACAGCAGCUGGAUACUGUCACUGGAACAGUGAGGCCUCGUCAGAAAACCAAGCCUAUCAGAAACUACACAAUGCACCACUUGAAAUCCAGGGGGUCCAAACAGCAGGCAUCCAUCCCAGGUUGGUUGAACAUGCUCCCUACGAUAUAUAUGAGAUUGGCAUAGGAAACAUUUAUUGGAAUCAUGAACAUGACACUCUGUGUCCAGCAUCUUUUUAAUACUUCAAGUUGGUAUCUUCUCUGACUAGAUCCUCUGCUCGGCUUUCACUGAUAGACAUCAAAGACUUCAUACAGCACCUCUAUUACAGAGACCAGUGAGUAAUUUCACUUUUAAAGGUGACGUGUCAGGGACACUCAAGCAUGACUUGUUUCUUUCUUCUCCUAAAUCUUGCACACUCUCUUUUCUUUAUUCCUGCAGCAACCUGUUGCUCAAUAGUAACAGGUCAAGACCUUCUCUUAGUACUGUAUGAUACAUGGUCAGAUGUCUCAACAUCAAUAGUGCUCUGAGGCACGUUCUGCCUGCCUUCUAGAUUUGGGAUGAACUGCAGGCAUUCAUUUUGGGAAGCCUGGUGUGACUUGAACUCUUUGAACUCUAGAGUACUGUUCCUUCACCAUAGCAUGGUCCAUGGUCCAUCAUUGUUGGAAGUAGCAACCUUCUGUUGUAAAUGGCUAUUGAGUGGCUGACUCAUCUCUGUGUUUUAAGUCGGCUUCUCUGAGUGCGUGGCUGAGGUCUCUCAGUGUAUAUUUGCAGUUACUGACUGUUCCCACCUUUCAUGGGGUGAAACGUGACCUCCAAGAGACGUACAGGAUUUACUACCUGUCAGGAUACUGCAUUUCAGAAGAGAGAUGCUAAAUCUGCUUACAGAUUUAAAUGCACACAUUGCUCUUGGCAACGUAAGCCAUCCUGUAAGUCUUGAACGCUGACCUAAGGAAAUAUUUCUAAUAAAGACAUCUUAUUUCCUGGAAAUUAAAGUGCAUCAGAGGCUUUUAUCUGAAAUCAUGUGGAGUUUCACUGUUAAUAAUGCAACAGACUGAAGAAGCCUUCAUAUUGCAGGGGAAACAGUGCCACUGCCACUGCCCAAAUGUCCACUUCUUUUGGUCCCAAGGAAUUUAAAGGCAAAGGCCUUUAAGAUGGAGUUCUUAUUUCAGCAAUUCAAGGAUUAAAAACAUAGGUAGGCAUUCAAAAGAAAUCUUUGCAUGUUACUCCAAGAAAGAUACAGAUUAAAUCCAGUAAGGAGUCCUAGUUUUGCCCAGCAAAUCUGUAAGCAAAUAAAUUGA